rnacentral:ncRNA from 1 species
GAUAGAGGUUGCGGAAACGAUGAGUAUUCCACGGUAUACGCCGGCAAGCGGCUGUGGAAGAAAGGCAAUUCCGCCGAAGCGCAGAACGGUUGCCGCCGCUUUGUACGCUGGGACUUCGCUGAACAAGCGUUGGACUGUCACAUGUAUGUGGAGAGCUAUCG